ensembl:lncRNA novel transcript, antisense to TEFM
CAACAGUUGGUGUUACGUUAGAGCUAAUAAUUAUACUUUAGCACGUUAACCUCAGAAUUCUAAGGCUGAGAGUCAAACACUGCUAAUUCAUAGAAGGCAAUAGCUUGUAAUAAUGAAUCAUAAAGCUCUUCUACUCUUUGUAGUUCAGUAGAUAAAAACAUCUGUCUGUAGUGAACUAUUUUAUCUGAUGGGAAGAACACCCGAGGAUCCGCCUUCAGUAUAGAAUCGAAGAGAAACUGCUUCACUAGCUCUUUUCCACUAGUCCGGGAGUCACCAAUCAUCAGUUCAAAAUGCUUCCCCACUGCAUUUCGAUUCAUGCUCAGCACCUGAUGCUGCCCAUCCUGGGCAAAAGUUUUAUUUAAUAAGGCAUACAGCAUGGCUUCCAUGAUAUGAAAAUGUAACAGUAUUGGAAACAGAGAUGAGUUCUGAAUGGAAAGUCCUGUUUUUUCCAGAACAUAGAAAUCUGCUUUAGGCAUCUUUGAAAUGAUCGAGGAAAUCUUUUUAAAAAAAGACAAAAUAAAGGAACAGAAAUAAUUCAUUAC